AGCUCACAGACGAUAACUAGAAGAUAAAUAGAUAAAUGACUACUUUUCUAUAAAAAUGUUGUGUAGACUUAAAUUAUUUAAACUUUGAAUAUUUGGUGAAAUGUAAUUGAAAUGAUUGAAUAAGCAUUUUAUUUUAUCUUUGUGAGAGUGGAAGAGGGGCUUUACCAUUGAUUCUGUUUAUUUACUACCUACAGGACAAUUCAUAUUUAUAAUUGUCUCAAGUCGCUUUUGUUCAGCUAUAUUUUUUUGAGUAACAUACAUCUUGCUUCUAAAAUUUCAAACUUAAUUGUAUAAGAUUAUUCAUUAGCAUAAGCUGCUACAACUAUAGUACCUUUCUUUUUAAAAAAAAGUCUGUAUUUUUUUGAUUAACCUUACCAGAGGAUUAUUUUAUUAAUUUGUUCCAAGAAAUAUUUGUCUUUGCUGAGCUUUGUUUGCUAUCUUUCUAUGUUCCAACCUUUAUUUCAUACUUUUUAACUAGGACUGAACUCCUUUAAUUUUUAGGUUUAUUCUGGGGUUCUUGCUAAGAUUUACUAGCUUGCAUUUCAGUUCACUAGUUUUGAGCUUUAUUACGUUCUAAUGUAGACAUAUUUUAGUCUAUUGUUCCCCUUAAUACAGCUUGUGGUGGGCAGAAGAUGCCCACAUAUUAAUUUCUGAUACCUGCGAAUAUAUUAUCUUAUGUGACAAAGAUACUUCAUAAGUAUGGUUAAAGUCAUUGAUAUAUGAAUAUUAUUUUGUAAUCUGGAUUGACCCAAUAUAAUCAUAAAGGUGCUACAGUGAAAAACACAAACAGAAACUCAAAAAUUUGAACAUGAUCUAUUUCUGGCUUUGAAGAUGAAGAAACGAGCCACAAAUCAAAGAAACCAAGUUGUCACUAGUUACUGGAAAUGUCCAGGCAAAAUGUUCUCUCCAAAAUCCUCCAUAAGAAAUGUAGCCUUUCUUGUAUCUUGAUUUGAUCCCAGCAAAGCCUAUAUCAGAUUUCUGACUUCCAGAACUGAGAUAAUAAUUUUGUGUUGUUUAAGCCACUAGGUUAAUGCAGUUUGUUACAGCAGCAAUAGUAACCUAAUACAGUGCUUUUUUUCUUUUUUUUUCCUGCAACAUCCUACUAUCACCUGGGUUAUCACCUAUUAUUAGAGGUCAAAUUUUCCUGUUUACUUUAAUGCCAAAAUUAAGGUUUUUCUAAUUUAGUUAGACUAUGGUUAAAUAAUAGGCUCUGUAUUAGAGUAUUCCUAAUGGAAUAUGUGGCCUAAUAUUUGACCAUUUAUUAUAAAUUUCAUGUUUCAUCUACUGAAAAAGUGUAUAGAAUAUUGCGCUCUAAAAUAAGUAGUAUACAAUUUUCUAUAAACUGGAAGUAUAUCAAGUUGGUAAUAUUUUCAAUUUGAUUUGCUAUAUUUUUGUUAACCUACUUAUAUAUUUUUAAAAUUUGGCUUUCUAUUCAACGAAUUGCUAAAAGAGUUUAUCAAACUCUUUUCACAUAACAUUUUUGUAUGUUAUUUUUGUAUUUGUGUUUCAGCUCUGUUUUCAAACUUUGUUAAUCUGUAUAUACACAUUUAGAACUGAUGUAUCUUCCUAAUCAAUUACAAUUUUAAACAUGUGCCAUCUUUAUUUUUCUCUUACUGUUUCCCCCAUUAUAAUUCCUCAUUACAAUUUUUCCUCUUUAAUCAUUUCAGUGAUAAAUUUUGAAAGUUGUUCUUUAUAUAUCAGUAUCUAAUUUGUGGUUUUAUAUAGAAUGACCAUGCUGGGUAGGUAUUGUUCUGUUUUGAUGAAAUGAAAACUACAAUUUGUGACUUGAAUUCUGACAAUCAAAUUUCACUUUAUAUCUCCACACUUAUCUAUCGUUAAAAUAAAAAAGUACUAGUUAAUAUUGUACCCACCAAAAUCUUGAAAGAAUUUGAAAAGGACUUUAUGAGUAAGAUGAUGAUUGCCUACGUUUUCCCUGCUUAAAAGAUAACACAAGUCUAUGAUAACUCAAGUCUAUGAUUCAAAAAUGACUAUGUAGAAAGGAUUUUACUUCCAUUUUAAAUUAAUACAGUAAAAUAAAACAAAAAUAAUUUACUUGAUUUCCUUGACAAAAUAAGGAAUGCUUUGCUCUUUCUAGAGCACGCCAUAAUGCAAGCAAGGAUCAGUUUGCGGUGUUGAUAAAGCACUUGUGUAUACAUUUACUAGGGUGAAACAGAACCAUAGUAAAUAGCAGUGAAACUGUUUAUUUAGAAACUGUGGUGUUAAUUUGCAGUAGGUCUCAAUGUGUCCAGGGAAAUCUUACUUUCUAGUAGAAUCAAAGCCUAGAUUUGGGUGAGAAACAUAGAUAAAAUGUUGAAAAUUUGUCAUUAUGGUAUUUUAUACAAGUCAAAUGAAUUGAAGGUUAUAGAUGUUGGUGUCACAAAAGAAGGAAUAGAUCAGAAAAAAAUAUUUAAAAUACCAAAAAGGAAUUGUACAAAUCCUGGUUAAUGUCUAUAAGAUAUAAGGUACAAAACUAUUAACCAGAAAUGUGUAUUCAGGAUUCAGAAACAAUAUCAUAAAAUCAAAUUGAAAAGCCAGAUACCCAUAUAGUUAUAAUCUCUAGUCAGUGUGUAAUAUUAAAUCCAUAGGAGGCAACUUCCACUUGGGUCAAAGUACAAAACUUGCUGUAUGGUCUUAGCAAUUUGCUCAUAUGAGUAGUCACAAAAUUAUGCAUCUUUCACGAAAAUCUUUGCCAAAUGUUUUGGUAAUUUCUAGCAUGCAAAAAUACAUAGACUUUUCUUGAAAAGCAGCAUCAUAAAUGAAAGAUAUAGAGAUGGAACAAACAAAAGAAACUCUCAUUGAUAUUAAUGAAACUUUUCUGACUCUACCAUUAGCAAUCUGGCUCAUACAGAUAGGAAAAAGAAAUAAGAGACAAUGAGAAGCACUUUAGAAUUUAAUACUCAAGAUAUUUUUAUAAUGAUUUAAUUUUUUCCAUUAUAGCUGGUUAACAGUGUUCUGUCAAUUUUCUACUGUACAGCAUGGUAACCCAGUUACACAUACAUGUAUACAUUCUUUUUUCUUAUAUUAUCAUGUUCCAUCAUAAGUGACUAGACAUAGUUCCCUGUGCUACACAGCAGGAUCUCAUUGCUUAUCCAUUCAAAAGGCAAUAGUUUGCAUCUAUUAACCCCAAAUUCCCAAUCCAUCCCAAUCCCUCCCCCUCUUCCUUGGCAACCACAAGUCUGUACUCCAUGUCAAUGAUUUUCUCUUCUGUGGAAAGGUUCAUUUUUGCCGUAUGUUAGAUUCCAGAUUCAAGUGAUAUCAUAUGGUAUUUGUCUUUCUCUUUCUGACUUCACUUAGUAUAAGAGUCUCUAGUUCCAUCCAUGUUGCUGCAAGUGGCAUUAUUUUGGUUUUUUUUUAUGGCUGAGUAGUAUUCCAUUGUGUAUAUAUAUCAUAUCUUCUUAAUCCAAUAAUCUGUUGAUGGACAUUUGAGUUGUUUCCAUGUCUUGGCUAUUGUGAAUAGUGCUGCAAUGAACAUGUAGGUGCAUGUGUCUUUUUCAAGGAAAGUUUUGUCUGGAUAUACGCCCAAGAGUGGGAUUGCUGGGUCAUAUGGUAAUUUAUAACAUCAUACAAAUCGAAGUGCAAGAACAUUCUAAAGGAUGCCAAGGGUAUUGACAAAAGUUUCCUAGAGCACCUGAGUAUAAACCCAGGACAUGUCCAUAGUGAUCAACACAGGCACAUCUCUGACUGAGGUUGCUAUGGGUCUCUGUGACAUUAAUCAUAGAGGAUCCCUUCAUAACCCUGGUGUGCAGUCCUCUGGAAACUUGCUGACAAAGGCCUGCAAUCGCCUGAGGAUGUUACUAUUCUCAACUUGCAGUUGUAACAGAAAACAAAGUAAAAUGCUAUAUAGCAUAAUGGGUUCAUCUAUGUCUUGGAAAUCAUACUGCAACCAUCAUUCUAAUGGUAAAUAAUGUUACUUUUAGUUAUGCAAACUGAAUAUUUUCUUAACUGAAAAUAGAAUCUUUUACGGCAAGAAAAGUGCAUUACUUUUAGAGACAGAGAGCUGAAAUAAAAAAUCUAACUCAGGUAUCUUUUAGAAAAUUGACCUUAGGCAAGUUGGUUGACUUAUGAUUCUCAGUUUAUGCAUCUGUGAAGUGGGCAUAAUUUAUCUCACACAUUUAGCAUAGCUUGGAUAAUAUACUGAGUCUUUACAAAUGGUACCAGCUAGUGUGAUUACCCCUAGACUCUACUUUUGGCAAUUUAUGCAGAACAGUGAGAUCAAUUUUCUUCGAUUGUAAAACCAUAUUAUUAGGCAGAAGCCUAUACUUUAGAAACACAGAUUGCAAUUGAGUUUGCAAGUUAUACUGUAAAUUGGGUUGGCAUAAGAUACCACUCUCUGUUGUUCUCCUUACAUGAAAUGGAUUAGUUUCUAUAUUCAGACAGAAGCAAGCAAGGGUAGUGUCCAUUUAUGAGGCAUUAAUAAAGAAUUUGGGCAUUGAAAUAUUAAGUCAAGAAAUUGAAACUGGAAGUUCUCAAAAAUAACAUGUGGUACGGAAAAGAUAUAACCAGAUUGAGCAGAGCCAAAGCUCAGGCACAAAGCAGAAAUAUGGUGAUAGGGAGAUACUAAUGGAAAAUAUGCUUAAAUAAAACUUAUGGUCUAGGAGUUCCCAUUGUGGCUCAGUGGUUAACAAACCCACUAUCAUCCAUGAGGAUGGCCUCGCUCAGUGGGUUAAGGAUCUGGCGUUGCUGUGAGCUGUUGUGUAGUUCGCAGACACAGCUCAGAUCACGGCUUGCUGUCGUUCUGGCAUAGGCCGGCAGCUAUAGCUUCAAUUCAUCCCCUAGCCUGGGAACCUCCAUAUGCUGCCAGAGCGGCCCCAAAAGACAAAAAGACAAAAUAAACAAACAAACAAACACAAGACUUAUGGACCAAAGGCUUAUGAAAAAAAUGUUAAGCGUUAUAAAACAAUGCGAAGUUUUCCUUAAACUUGUGAUCCAUCUUCCCUUUCCUCCUUUCCUUCUUUUCAUUAUGCCAAUAAGAGGUAGUUAAUUAUUUUAGAUGUUCAUUGAAGAUUCCUUUAUUUUUUUAUUAGGAAAAUCCUCAAACAUACAGUAAAGGGAAAAUAUGAAGAAAAUAUUAAAAAUAAUAUUUCAUACUAGUGGCAGCAAAUGUUAGCUAGCUAUGCUUCAUUGAUUUUUUUCUAAAUAAUUUUAAAUACAAUCACAGACAUCUUGAUAUUUCACCCUCAAAUAUUUCAGUUAUACACUUCUAAAAAAUGAAGUGUAGUUUCAUGAUGACAUUUUAACACUAAUGUCCUAGUCCCGUCUAAUUCAUAGCCCAUAUUUGAAUAUCUGCUAUUUUUUCUAAAGUAUAUUUUGUACAUUUUUUUGUUUAAAACAAGAUACAAGCAAGAAUUAUAAAUUACAUUUUACUGCUGGACUCUUAAAUCUCUCUCCACUUAUUCUGUAAUGUUGAAUUGUUGAAAAAAGUAGUCCAGUUGGCAUGUGGCUGUUGACAUAAUAAUGUUUAAAUAUGUUUGACACUCAUACAUCACAGGCGAUGCUGUGCAUUUGUAAGAUUUCAAAUCAAAAGGCGUCCAAACGGCUGGUCCUCCCACCAUAAUGUUGCCAUGAGUAAUCAUCUGGUCAACACAUGGACAUCCAGAUCCCUGUCAAACCUUGCCCAUCACAAAACAAUAUAUGAGCUGAUAGAUAGCAUGUUCUCUCUCAUUCUCCAUUAAUCCUUUACCCAAGGAUUUCAGUACGUGUGGAUCAUCUAUUUCUCCAGAGGCUAAAAGUUAAUAUCCGACCCUGCUGUUCAAUAAGCAUUCAUUAUCUGUUUUAUUACAUAAAGAAAAACCCUCAGUGUCCUCUUAUGGUGCAGCGGGUUAAGGAUCUGUCGUUGUCCCUGCAGCAGUUUGUGUUGCUGCUUGGCCACGGGUUCCAUCCCUGGCCCAGGAACUUUUAGCAGGUAUGGCCAAAAAGUGAAGAAAAAAAAAAAAAAAA
rnacentral:lncRNA from 1 species